GUCCCCGGCGUCCGGGCGCCCUGCAUGGAUCCCCCACCCCAGCUCCUGCUCCCCGGCGGCGGCCGGUGGGCAGAAAGACCGAAACCCACUCACGGCCGCCUGCCGAAUCGCGGCUCUGCUGUUUGUGGGGCGUGCUAGAAACGUGGUCCUAAAAAGAAUGGCGUCCAUUUACAUAAUGCUUUGUUUGCGUUUCGCAAGUUUCUUUCGGUUAAAGCCACAGAAACCCCACCUCCUGCCCUUGUGUCGUUUCCACCGCGGCACCCUUUUCCGACAUUAGAAACAAUAGUGUACGCCUGUGGAGGCCUCGUUUGUUCAGGGGCUGCCGGCCAGGGCUUCAGGACGUUUCUGCGGCUUUCCCCGCGCGGCCUGGGCUCCCGCGGCUGCUUUUCGGGCCCAUGGGCGCAGCCACUGCGCCAGGCUCAAGGGGGGCGGCCCCGUCAGGGCCCGCCAUCUUGGAAGGCCUUUUUUGCCGGUUCUUCCCGCUGAGGAAGUGUCGCUCAAGACGCUGGCCUAUGAGUUGUGAUUUCUGCCUUUUCCCCUUCCUCCUUGGGCUAAGCCAGACCAGAAAGGGCCCCGUGCGCAACGUGCUUCACAAUCUCUCAGGGAAAGCGGCUAACGUGGCGCUACUCCGCCUCCCCUGUUCCUUACCCUUGGGGCGGCCGCCAUGUUUCCUGAACACAAAAUGGCGACACGUGGUUAGCAUUCGUCGCCAACGAGAAAUUGGGGUCGGCCCGAAAGCUCUAGAAUGCACCCCUCUUCCUCCCCGGGGCCUUCCACCUCCGCGAGUUUUAUGACUUAAAAAAGCCCACAGGCUGGUCUGAAGGUCGGAGGCCUAAUUUUAACGCGUUUUCCUCCCUUUAAUUUGAAACGGGAACGCGAAUGACUGUAAAAUGUGGGCACAAUAUUUAAUCUCUCGCCUUUUUAAAGCUUAAUAGUGGAUAAUAGGGGGGCAGUAUCAAGGGAUAAUUUGGGUCCCCACAGUACCAAAGCAUUUAGAAACCUCUGUUUAAUUUAAGGAAUGAGAUAAGUUACUGCUUUUCUAGACUUCCUAGCAUGGGCUGUUGUGCUGGAGAGAACGAGAGCUACGAAGAGACUACAGUGCCUCUGACUUUUUCAUAGGACAGUUGGCCGGUGAAUCUUAUUAAUAGUUUACCACAAUUAAGUGUUCAUUUUUAGUCUAGAAGGGACAGGCGUUUAUUGUGCAUUGGCCAGUGCCAGCACAUCCGAUGCAAGGCAGUUCACCGUAUUCUAUCUUUAAUUUUUACCAUGGUCCUCUGAGGUAGGUGUUCUUAUCUCUCUCUCUCUCUCUCUCUUUUAAACAGAGGAAGACAAACAUAAAGAUGAAGUGCUUAAUUCAAGGUCACACAAUGUCGGGGAUGGACCUCCAGAUUUCCUUACUGACCUGCAUUAUCUUGUGGAUACCUGAGUGAAUUCCACACCACCCAUUUUAUAGAUGAAACCACUGAGACAUGGAGCAAUUGACUGAGUAGUCACUGCCCCACCCCUGCCUGGAGCCUCACACAUGACUCGCCUCCUCUCAGUGACCACAGACCAAGUGUGUUGGGGACUUGAGAUGCGUACAUGAGUGUGAUGUUUCCUGCUGAAAGCACAGGUGAGACGUGGUCUUGUAACACAGUGGUUAAGAAUGUGACUUUGGAGCCAGCCUGCUAGGGGCUGAAUUCUGACUCAGCCAUUUACUAACUGUGUGACCUUAGGGAGGAGGACCUGGUUGAUAGAAGAAUUUAUCUCGUAGUCUUAACAUCCACUGUAAUUCCAAACUUUGAGGACGAUAGAGAUCAGUGGGCUUUGACUGCCCAGCAUGCAGUCUCCAUUCUUAGGUGGGUUCCCAAGCCUGUAAAAUGUAAGCCUUAUGCUGCUGAGGGCCAUCUUGCCACCCUGAGGGAAACGCUGCCUGAGAAUGAAACAAGCAUAAGUAAAAGCUGAGCUGUGAGAUGGAGCAAGAUGAAGGCCACAUGACAUCUUUGGAGCACCUGGAUCUAACUGUGCCUUAAGCUAGUCUAACCCUGAACAUUUCAUCAUUUCAUUGACAUGAGCCCAGGUUUUCUUUUUUUUUGGAUGGAGUCUUGCUCUGUCGCCCAGGCUGGAGUGCAGUAGCUCAAUCUCGGCUCACUGCAAGCUCCACCUCCCGGGUUCACGCCAUUCUCCUGCCUUAGCCUCCCAAGUAGCUGGGACAACAGGCGCCCACCACCACUCCCAGCUAAUUUUUUGUAUUUUUAGUAGAGACGGGGUUUUACCAUGUUAGCCGGGAUGGUCUUGAUCUCCUGACCUCAUGAUCCGCCCGCCUCGGCCUCCCAAAGUGCUGGGAUUACAGGUGUGAGCCACUGCACCCAGCCCUCAGGUUUUCCCUUUUUUUACCCCUCCUUUUGAAAAUUUGAUGUGGAAUUUUGCCACCUGCAGCCAGAAGAGUUUUAACUAAUCAGUGCCAUAAAUUUUAUAUAGUUCUCCUUGCAAAAUGUGGAUCAGCCUUUCUCAGCAAAUCCUUUGUCAUAAAGUGCUGAAUUGUAAGUUUGUCAUGAGAAUCACAUGAGAUCAUGCAUGUGAAGAACCUGGCAUUAUCCUCCUCAUAGAAAAAAACCAGUAAAUAUUAACUACAGGAAGCAAGGAAGGAGUGGGGUGAGGGGAAGAAGAAGGGGUACUGAUUUAAAAGAACCCUGGAGUCCUAAGGAUAAUCUAGGAACCCUCAGACCCAAUCCGAUACCCCUAUUCUAAAUGCUCCUAGUGCCCUGUACCUUCCCCUCAUAAGCCUUCAUUAUCAUUGUAAUGAUAUGUUUAUGUAAUAUUUUGAUUAAUGUCUCUCCUUCACUGACCUAGCAGUUCUAGCAGGGCAGUGAUUUUGCUGUGUUGCAUCCCCAGCACCUAGUCUGGUAUGUGGCAUUCAGCAUAUGUUUAUUGAAUGAAUGGCCAUGUGGUUAUUCAGAUCCUCCUUGAUUAUUGGGGUUAGGAUUGUGGCAGAAGUGGCAAAAUCAGGGAGAGUAGUCCCUGUCCCCUCUGUAUCUUAUACACUGCCCACACUCCCAACACACAUACACAUACAGAGAAUUUUGUCUCAAUUAGAUAAUUAACUUCUGCUUGGUUGUAAACCAAACCACUGGUUCUUAAACUUUCAUUGGAUCAUUUUAUUGAAGAAUUAAAUAGUGUGGUUCUGGCCUAAUGUCUGGAAAGCCUUGCAGAGGAGUGGAUUAGGUCUUUGUGAUAAACAGGCAGCCUUCCCUGCUCCUGUGUCUUUAUAAAAUCUAUUUAACUGGAGUAGUCCACCCUCCCUCAGGCUCUUACAGGAAUAUGUUGGAGGCUGUAGGAAGGUGGGAAACCGAGAGGGAAAGGACUGGGCCGCUGGAGACUUCACUCAUUCCCUAGCAAGAAACAAAAGCAGUAAAAGGUGGCCCGAGGACAACCUGAAGCUCACUCCUUCAGCACUUUUGGCUGGAGGUCACUUGUUGGAGCCCCACUCAGAGCUCAGCACACCACCCCACCAGCAGCCUCCUCCUCCCAGCUGAGGCUGCAUUUCAUCCCUUCCCCCAGCCUGCUUUCCCUGAGAUAGGGGAGUGUUUCCCAGGGCCCAUGUGACUUCCACUGGCAAGUGACGAUUACCAAUGGUUUACUAGUCAGUGAAACUACCAAAGGCUUUUGUGCUGUAGUAAUCCUUUUCCUGUUUAAAACUCUGGGGAUUUUCUAAUGUUGCCAAUAGUUUUUCAAGUCAGCAAUUACUGUGUGGAUUAUGUAAUGGCUCGGUAUUAAAAAUAGAAAAGACUGGA
rnacentral:lncRNA from 1 species